GAUGAACGCUGGCGGCGUGCCUAAUACAUGCAAGUCGAGCGAACGGACGAGAAGCUUGCUUCUCUGAUGUUAGCGGCGGACGGGUGAGUAACACGUGGAUAACCUACCUAUAAGACUGGGAUAACUUCGGGAAACCGGAGCUAAUACCGGAUAAUAUUUUGAACCGCAUGGUUCAAAAGUGAAAGACGGUCUUGCUGUCACUUAUAGAUGGAUCCGCGCUGCAUUAGCUAGUUGGUAAGGUAACGGCUUACCAAGGCAACGAUGCAUAGCCGACCUGAGAGGUUAUUCGGCCCCCCUGAACUGGGAAACGGUCCCGGCUCCUAAGGGAGGCCGGCGGAGGGAAUCUUCCCGCAUGGGCGGAAACCUGGCGGAGCAACGCCGCGGUAGUGAUGAAGGGCUUCGGAUCGGUAAACUCUGUUAUUAGGGAAGAACAUUUGUGUAAGUAACUGGGGACAUUUUGACGGUACCUUAUCAGAAAGCCACGGCUAACUACGUG
rnacentral:rRNA from 1 species